AUUCUCACCUACAAAUGGAUGUGCACAUUCUGAAGUGUUCCUCUGUUCAUGAUUAUGUUUAUGUUUUAUGAUUUUAGCACAUCUGUGGAGAUGAGACAUUUUGCAUCACAAUAAAAACUUUUAUGAUCAUGGAAUCCACGAGGCCUUGAAGUAGAUGACACAAUUUAUCAGUUAGUGAAUAAUAGAUGAUUUGGCAGCACUUGUCUGUGAUUUCUUUGAGGAUCAACCUUUGGAACCAUUUAAAAAGGGGUCAACCGGACUCAAUGCUCGUAAAAUGGAUGCAAGCUGUUUUGAAAACCUUAAGAGCAGCUGAGGCGGCCCGUGGAAGGGUAACAUGCCAUAUUUCUCCAUAUGUACAUUGAAGGGGGAAUCCUCUGAAAAAAUUAUUAAAAGUAGCUAUUAAGACGUUACAGCUUUUUGCUUUCUGCGGAAGACGCCUCGUUCCAUCACACGGAGGUUGAUGACGUCGCCGUUCAGUAAAUGAAGAAGCUGAAGGUGGAGCGUACCGCGUGAUCAGAUAGGUCGUCAUGGACGGAAGAAAAACAAUUUAAUGCCCUGUCUGGCAGACAUUUUUCUUGCGCAGCUAAAAAUACAAUUUGAAUUGUAAAUUGGCGAGUUGUGGCGGUUUUUGUUAUAGAGGAGACACGUAUAAAUAUAUCGAGUGAGUCUGCCGUUGA